rnacentral:lncRNA from 1 species
AGAAACAUUGGUAGGCGACGACCAAUCAAGAAGCUUGGAACCCCAAGCCUCCUUCUUUGUGUCGGUACUUCUUCACCUCUCAAUGCAGCAGCCAAGAUGCGCUCGUCUCACGCAAAAUCGUCAAGUUCAGCGAUGUCCUUCAGGCUAGCAAGGUACUCAAGGGCACCACGUUGCCGGUGCGAAGCACUAGCACAAGCGUGAUGCGUAAAAGAACCCAAGACCUCUCCAUGGUCGCAGUUUCGUGGUUCCUCACCUUCUUAAGUACAGAUAUAUCUUUCUUUUUAUGACUGAAAAAGCAGAAAGACACAUGUCAUUCAGAAAUGAAACAUUGCAACAAAGAAAACCAAAAAUCCAAAAAAGCUGCGAUGGGCGUAUUUUUUUAUACCUAAACAAACCCUGCUUAGGGUCAAUCUUCAUGACUACCCGGUCUAGCAGCUCAUCUGGUACAUAAAAGGGGGAAAUAUUCAUCAAAGAAACAAAGUUGCAAUCAUUUCAGAUUCCCCUCUUGUCGUCAUUCAGAUGUUUCUCAGCAACCUGACGCAAGCGAGAAGCUGAAAAACCUGUUGUGAAGGACCCAUCAGUAGGUUCUUCAAUCUCAUCAUCCAUUCUUGAGGCUCUGCAUCAAAAAGAGAAGAAAUCUCGUUAUACUGCCUUAUGAAAUCUAUGCAACAACACCAUUUAGAAAAUCUUUGGAUAAAACACAACACUCCCAUUGCAUUGGUCACUACGUGAUGAAACAACAUCUACUGAGAUAAAAACCAACUUAUCUAAGCACUGGCGCACUAUUGGUCAAACAAAAAACACAAAAACCCACACUCCCUGGAUAUAAGCAACUGCAAAAGAUCAUAUAAUCCAUUAAACACUGAUGAAAAAAGCCCUAUCACAUUACCUUGCCCCAUGCAUUUAAAUCACAAGCCCAAAAUGCAAGGUUCAGUCUGUAAGCUCACCUAGUACAGAGAAUGAGGCGAUAUUCAUCAUAGAUCCGAAGCUGACUUGUUUAUGACUACCCUCUUUUCAUCAUUCAGAUGUUUCCGCGCAAACAGACACAACCAAGGUACAAACACGUGCUGAGAAAGAUCCAUUAGUAGGUUCCUCAUCAUCCAUUGUUGAGUCUCUGCAAAAACAAAAAGAACAACAACGACAACAUAUUAUAUCGCUUUGUUACGAACCUAUGCAACAACAACAGCGGAACGAAACACACUAUAUAUAAAAAUAUGGAAUGAUUUGAAAAUGAA